AGUGUGGUAUGAUGAGUUGCACAUAUCGAAGGGAUAUGAUGUGAUUAUCUCUUCCUACGACAAACUAUGAUGACCAUCAAGUGCACAGGGGCCAGCUGACCACA